rnacentral:lncRNA from 1 species
UGGCCACCUCUAUCCAUACUCUCAUUUUCUGGUCUAAAUUGUAUGUUAUCACUACAGAAUCCUAGAGCUGAGGUAAGGAUUCAGUUUAGUGGGGAGAAUGCUUGCCUAGCAUGCAGGAAUCCCGGAGUUCACUCUGCGUCCCUACAUAAUGUGGUGGUGCACGCAAGUAGCACACGUGGUGCUUAUCACUUGGGAAGUGAAGGCAGGAAGAUCGAAGAUUCAAGGAGGGGUUGCAGACAAGGAAUGAGUCCCGUACUCAGGUGACUUCUUGUGAACCAAUCCCCUAAGGAAUAAAGAAGCCAAUCACUGGGUGAGUAGGCGGGACUUCUGGGUUGGAUGGAGGAAGAGAGGAAGCAGGAGAGAGUUAGGUCUUUUUUGGACGGGGAUAGCGUGAGGACAAGAUUUAAUUAUGAGUGGCUCCUGGUUUCAAUGGUGGAUCUGUCAGGAUUCGCCACAGGAGGAUUUAGAUUUAAUAAGACUUACAGAUUAGAAUUUUAGUUGAUGCACUCAGUGAUUGAGUUUAUGUUGUUUCUGAACUAAGCUUGUGUUGUGUUUUCCUUCACACAGCAGCUUGUCGGGGUUCAAGAGAGAAAGAUACGGUUGGCAAAGCAUGGAUUUGCCUGAGGUGCACCACAAAGGUCACGGGGGAUUUGAAGCAUGGGGCUGGUGUGGUAGAGACCAGCCAGUGGGAACUUAGCGAGCUGGGUGGAGAUGUUUGGGGAGCUCCGGGCCAGAGAGUCCCCACAAGAUAGUAACAGGCCGGCCAGAUCACCAGAGCUAAGAGUAGCAGGGCACAAGCACUGGAAUGUGCAGGCUUUUUAAAAAAACAAUAUUUCCUGCAACAUAGGUGCUUCUCAGUCCAUUCAAGUUGACAAUCAAGGUAACUAAUUAAUAAAAGAAAUUAUUUGAAACCACAUAUACCACCUUGAAUGUAAAAUGCUUGGAAGCAUAAUAUAUACUUUUUAGGCAUCACUGAGUUAGCAGUUUCAUGUUGAGUAGUGUAAUGGCUUGAAUGAGAAUGGCUUCCAUCAGCUCAUAGAGUUGAAUAAUUGGUUAUUGGGGAGUGACAUGAUUUGAGAGGGUUAGAAAGUGUGGCCUUGUUGGAGGAAGUGUGUCACUAGGGAUGGGCUUUGAGGGCCCAAGCCAGGCCCAGAGAUUCUCUCUCUUUCUGAUGCCUGAAAAUCUGGAUAUAG